GUCGCGAGUUAUUGUCACAUAAAACAACUCAUGUAUUAACAAAGCAUUGGUUAAUUCUUUAGUUAAUAAAAGGCAUCAAGCUUUAUGGUAUUUUAAUUGAUGAUGUUUUACAGCAAGUAGAUACAUGUUUCUUUAAUAUAGAAUCAUCAUCUGAAAAUGAUGCUAGGAAGAAUAAGAGCAACACCAGAGGUCAAUGUGAUAAUAUAAAGACGGACGAGGUUGAAUCUCUUGAAAAAGAAAAUUCAUAAGAGCAACAAAAACAAGACUUACAACGUGCAUAAUCAUUUUAUUGAAUCAAUGCUUUAAGAGACAACCCAAAAACAUGAGAAAAAUGGCUGUGAUAUAAAAAUCAGUAGUGUUAAACAUCAAUUUGAAAGUGAUUUUUUUCCUUAGGAAACCGAUUUCAUGAGUGACAAAAUUAUUUAUUGGAAGGUGACUUUAAUAAAAUGUGUUGUUUUUUAUUGUCA